AUAUUGGGUCAGGAUUGGGUAAUCUGCAUCCUGAGGUUUGGAUCACCACAUGUUUUGAUCUAGUCCUUGGGUUGCAGAUUACCUCUUCCUCACUGACAAUGU
rnacentral:pre_miRNA from 1 species